rnacentral:tRNA from 1 species
GGCCUGGUAGUUCAGUUGGUUAGAAUGCCAGCCUGUCCCGCUGGAGGUCGAGGGUUCGAGCCCCUACCAGUCACCA